rnacentral:lncRNA from 1 species
UCUGUCAUAAAUGAAUUAACAAAUGAAUCUCUUUGCUCUCCAUCUAGAGGUCUUUCUAUAGCAUUUGUACCUUUUACUUAACAUUUCCUUGUUAUCAUGGAUGGAAUAAAUAUUAUUCAGAAGUCUAGGGAAUCUCUGCCACUGAGACUGCUAUCGCAAUGAAAAGGUACACCUUUGUAGAAGCUGGGUAACUUUGCUUUCAUUUUUCCUUUUUUUAAAUUUCAAACUGAAAUUACUUUAGGAUACUCUAUAAGCUAUAUUAAAUGGACCAAUUAUUGCAGAAAACAUAUAUAAGUAAUAUUUACUUACUUGCAUAGCUUAUUUAUGUGGUGGUUUCCUUUGAGCUCCUGUGUGGUUUUUUAAAAAAUGUAUAAAUAUUUUUUUUUAAAAGAAACUUGUUAUUUGGAGUAAAGCCCCAUAUCAUUAAGUAUGUGAAAAAUACUAGGUAAUUUUUAAAAUAUGUAAACCACCCUUUAAAAACCUAAGCAGGAUUUUUUUCUUAGAAGUGAGCAUAGUUGUUGCAUUACUUGGGUAAAGAAUGACAAGAGAAUUAGGUGAUUCAUACACUAAUUUCAUUGGAAAUAUUUGAGUAGGAAGAUCCUAGUCUGUAAUGAGCAGGGGACUGUUGUGUUGUUUUUGCUAUUAAAUGAAUUGAGCAUUGUUGUUUCAAAAAGUUUUAGGUGUUCGAAGGCAUGGGUGCUUAGUUUAGUUUGCGUUACGUGUAGUUAUAUAUAAAUGUAUGUGUGUAUAUAGAUGUGUAGAUAAGGGCAUGUAUAAAUGUGAUUACGGUGUUGGUGUUUGAGAUGAUUCUAUUUGUUAUGAAUGACGAUCAUUUCUAUUAAAGACUUUUGAAAUUAUUUCCUGAGAUUGAGUGCUUUUAGUUUAAUAUCAUUGACCCCACCUUUUUUUUUUUUUCUCCCUUUACCACCAAGUUAUCUAUGAAUAGUUAUUGAAAACAGUGAUAUUCUUGUAAUGGAGUGAACGCAGCAUUAUUCAGAGAUACAUUAUUUUGAGGAAAGUGGAUAUACAGUCUGCAAUAACAUCUAAGACCUCUACAUGGAGUGCUAUUUUGUGGCAUAAAGUGAUUUAAAAUAUUAGCUUAAAGUAAUGACAAAUUGUUUUAUCACUAUGGGAACAACUAAUGCCUUUUCCCUAGUACAUUGUCAUCACAGUUUAUAUUUUGAUGUAAUCUUUGUCCUUUAUAUGAGAGGAAACCCUAAGCCAUGAUGCGUAACUUUGCCAAUCUUUGAUCUGAAAGAUUUUUUGACUUUUAUAAUACAAUAAUAUAAAAUGAUUUUGUUUUAUAAUAUUACUAAGAUUCACAUCUUCUGGAUACAAAAUAUUUCUAUGAGUAGUUUGAUUUAACAGCUUGGAAUGUUCAAUAUGUAUGUGCACUAGUUUUAUUGUUUUGUCUCUGUUAAAUAAAGUUGAUGAUAUUUUAGUAUAUUUGUUCUUGUGAUCCAAAUUAUUUGUCUCUCUGAAGUAGCAGUCAGCAGGUUAGUCUGUUAUUUUCCUUUGUAUUUUAUGUAUUAAUUUUUUAUUUGUAUUUUUGCUAGCUAAUUUGCAACUUUAUUUUGCUUUAAAGUGUCUAUUUUUUAUUUUUUAAUGCAAUUUUUUUUUCAUUUACUCAAUGAAUUUAUUACAUUUGUAGUUGUACAAUCAUCAUCACAAUCUAGUUUUACCUUACUUUUCCCCCUCUUCCUUCCUACACUAUGUCCCUGGAGGGCACAGACUGUUAACUUUAUAAACUAGUACCAAGCAUGGAGCUGGACACAUAUAGAUAUUGAAUACAAGUGUGUUGAGAGAAUGCCUUUUAUUUUUUAUUACUUUAUUUUGUCUCGUCGUUUUAGGGCCCCUGGGAGCCUCCAUAUGCCACAGGAGCGGCCCUUGAAAUGGCAAAAAGACCAAAAAAAAAAAAAAAUUCUUAGGGGUUCAGACCAAAUUAGAGAGAAAAACUCAAGAUUAAAUACCUCCAGUAUCUUGAAGAAAGCUGACUCGAAAGCGUUACUGCAUAUGGGUUGACAGAUGAGGACCACAAGAAAACAACGUUCAGUGGAAGGCCUAUGGAAGACAGUAGUGAUGAAAUUUUUUCUUCCUUUCCUGAGUUAUCUUUCUUUUUAUCAUCUAAAUCAGGAGUGAAGGCCUGCUUCCCAGCUCAGAGAGAAUUCUUUGGCCUAUUAAGAGAGGUCAGCAGUUUGUGUUUGUUUCCAGCAUGUAGGAUUCAGAAGUUUUCAUGUAAAAUCGGACUUGUCAUUGCUGCCGUUCCUAAUAAGGGCAUUAUUGCCAGAACCCCACCUUGCCUGCCUUAGCACCUCUUCCCUCCAUGUCCACAUUCAGUUACUUUGCCCCUCUGGCUCCAAUAGGUAUUUGAGUUCAUUACUUUUUUUUUUUUGGAUGAUUAAAUGGUGUAUUUGUUUAAUGAUUAUGUGAAUGGGACAAAACCACAUUGUGAGAAACUGAGGGUCAUUGGCCCACUAGCCUAUGCAUUUGGGCAUUUAGAAUCUAGAUUAACUCUAAGACUGAGAGACAAAGAUUAGCACAAUGAACUGAAUUUUAUGUGCAAUGUGCUUUGUAGUGUAUGUUAAAUAAUAUUGCUUUAUGGUUUCCAAAAAGUAGUUCAUGAAGAUAGUUUAGGAGGAAUAUUUUUUCUCUCCUUCAUAGCCCUCAAAAAAAAAAAAAAAAAAAAAA